AACAUACUCCCUCCGUCCGGAAAAGCUUGUCCCAAGCUUAUCUGUCAAAUGGAUGUAUGUAGCACUAUUUUGAUAUUAGAUACAUCCAUUUGAGGGACAAAUUUUUUCGGACGGAGGGAGUACCUG
rfam:Triticum aestivum genome assembly, contig: Triticum_aestivum_CS42_TGACv1_scaffold_221538_3B